rnacentral:lncRNA from 1 species
UGUCCAGAGCUAUUACCAUCACUGGUAAAUCUAUCGCUCUUAUAAAUGACGUCCUGAGGGAAUCGCCUCACUCCUUGUGAUAUGUUGGCACCACUGCGAGACAGAAAGGUUUGAUGCACUUGAAUUGUUCUCUCCAUAGUCAUUAAGUGGUCAUUUUGAAACAGUGAAUGCUGGCAUGUACCUGAAUUCAAACCAUUAAGAAACCCUGGUUUCUCCUGCUGCGGAUGGCCAUGUUGCCUGUGGAUCUGCACUUUCCUUUUAUCUGUGGAGGGAAAAAAAAUGAAAUAUCGCAAAAUGAGGAUAUUCACUUCUGUCUUCAUACAAGCGUUUAGCUUUCUGAAGCCAGAAAGGACCACUACGGACACGUAAUCUGACCUACUGAAUAGCAGAGGCCAUAAACUAUUGCCUAAGGCUAUGUCUACCUUAAGCCUCGCCUCUGCACCUGAUUUCCAACAGAUUAUGUAAAAAGAUCUCUAGUCUUGAUUUUAAUAUUAACCUUCUAUUGUUCUCUCUCUUUUUUUCUCUCUUUUGUUAUAUCAUCUGUUACCUGUCUCCAGCUCCUUUUGGUAUUUCCUAUCAUGCUUCAUGCAGAUGGAGUCCCUUUAAUCUUUAGUUAAUUGCUUUCCUGUUCUUCUAAUAAAGCCUGAAGGUUUCUUUUUCUGUAAGGAAAA